rnacentral:lncRNA from 1 species
CAUUGAGUGGAAGGAUGUUGUUCCGUGCUGCAGAGCGGGUGCAGCUCAGCACAGCAGACCCCAGCUGCCGAUCUGCACGCUACAUCAAAGCCGUGCAGGGAGCAAGCCAGUCCUGGUGCCUCCAACCAAGUGGGACAUCACAAUGCAGACUUCUCCCAGGGAGGUAACGCUGCUGAGGUUCGCUCUGCAGACAAGAUGUGAAGGUAUGGAAGAACGGUGAGAAAAGAGGGGUAUUUUCUGCACAGCCCCUCCAAAUGUUCAUCUCCCAUAUGUGGCACAGAAGUGACUCUGGAGGAGGAGGAGAGCAGCCUUACUAUGGAGUGUUAUUAUGGGACAGACUUUGCCAUUUAGGCAUUGAAGGAGGUAAUGGAAAAAAAAACUCCUGUGAUUUUGUUCCCUGGCUUCUUCCUCUAGCCUCCUUCCAACCGAUGUACUCGUCUCCAACCAGAGCACUGGAAGCAACCAAUGGUUCUUGAUUUGAAAUCGAAAUCUAUUCUUUUUUCCCCUCUUCUUAAAGUCUGUGAUCUUCCAACAAUUGAUCCCAUUGGCUUCAGAGACUCAAGGCUGGGAAUCACUUUGUUUUAGAGUAGUUUUCCUAUAGUUCUUCUCUGAGGCUUUUUUUUUUUUCCUUCUGCUCUAUUAGUUUAAUGCAUUAAUUUGGCACAGAAGAGGUAGAGCCCAUAAUAUCCUGUUCCUGAGGAAGGAGUGCUGGGUAACACUGUGAGCCACUGUUCCAAGCAUGGGCUUAUUUACUUUAAUUAGAAAGUGCACUUGUUGAGUCGUCAAUUAAUUAGGUAAAGCAGCACCUACUGAGAGCAGAUGAAAGAGCUACUGUGUGAGAGGAAGGAGGGAGGGGGAGACAUGAGGGAUGAAAAGGGAAAGAUAAUACCAGCGCUGGAACGUAAAUGGUGUUGGGGAUGCCAGAAAGAGAUCACAGGAUGUUUUUUCUAUCGCCCUUGAAAAUGGGAGCACCAAGCAUUGCUUUGGCCAUGUAUCCAGGGGCUGGUGCCAUGUUUCUCCUGGGAAGGCUCCUCUUUUGCCCAGCACUGGCAGUCUGCUUCCUUCAGAGGUCUCACUGCAGCCUCUCACGGUCUCAAGUUGUGGAUGUACCCCUCACAAAUCACAGCGUGUCAGCGGGGACGUGCACUGGGCCUGCUGUUAAGUGGCCAAUUUCCUGGAGGCAAAGGCCUUCAAGUUCACUGCAAAAAAAAAAAGGGUUAGUUCCAACCUCUCCCCUCCUACAAAAGCUUUUUGUCUCCCGCUGUGUUGGCUGGGGAGCAGCUCCUAUCACAGCUCAUCACUGAGCACCGCAGGAGCGGGAUGGUGCUGAAGCUGGGCAGGUACCAGCUAUGCUGUGUGAUGCACGAGGCACUGUGCCUUGAUGGGGGAAAAUUAUGGAGCCUACCUGACCUUGCUUUCCCUGUAGCCACAUCUCUCGAGCACCGUGCAGUCCUAGCCUGCAGUGGAGCCCGUCCUUUGCCUGCCUGUACGUGGUGUUCAGCAGCCACAGGGAAUGGUGCGGGUGUGAAACACGUUCCCUCUGUCAAAUGUUUACUCCUACAGGUCCUAAAGGUUGGGCUGUGGUUUUGUGCAUGAAUAUCCUCGCUCCAGCCUAAAUGAGGGUUUUGUGGUCCAGCCUGUUAUUGUUUGGAAAGGGCACCAGGAAGCACUGCACAAACACGGCUACGUGACCGCAGUAGACAGUGAUGGGCUAGUGGGGCCUUAGGG